rnacentral:rRNA from 1 species
AGCGAACGCUGGCGGCAGGCCUAAUACAUGCAAGUCGAACGGAUCCUUCGGGAUUAGUGGCGGACGGGUGAGUAACACGUGGGAACGUGCCCUUUGGUUCGGAACAACUCAGGGAAACUUGAGCUAAUACCGAAUGUGCCCUUCGGGGGAAAGAUUUAUCGCCAUUGGAGCGGCCCGCGUCUGAUUAGCUAGUUGGUGAGGUAAAGGCUCACCAAGGCUACGAUCAGUAGCUGGUCUGAGAGGAUGAUCAGCCACACUGGGACUGAGACACGGCCCAGACUCCUACGGGAGGCAGCAGUAGGGAAUCUUGCGCAAUGGGCGAAAGCCUGACGCAGCCAUGCCGCGUGAAUGAUGAAGGUCUUAGGAUUGUAAAAUUCUUUCAGCGGGGACGAUAAUGACGGUACCCGCAGAAGAAGCCCCGGCUAACUUCGUGCCAGCAGCCGCGGUAAUACGAAGGGGGCUAGCGUUGCUCGGAAUUACUGGGCGUAAAGGGCGCGUAGGCGGAUGUUUAAGUCAGAGGUGAAAGCCCAGGGCUCAACCUUGGAACUGCCUUUGAUACUGGACAUCUUGAGUAUGGGAGAGGUGAGUGGAGCUCCGAGUGUAGAGGUGAAAUUCGUAGAUAUUCGGAAGAACACCAGUGGCGAAGGCGACUCACUGGCCCAUUACUGACGCUGAGGCGCGAAAGCGUGGGGAGCAAACAGGAUUAGAUACCCUGGUAGUCCACGCUGUAAACGAUGAGUGCUAGUUGUCGGCAUGCAUGCAUGUCGGUGACGCAGUU